GUUCCGUUGGUCAAAUGGUUAAGACGCCACACUUUCUAUGUGGAAUUAGGGGUUCGAUUCCCCUACGGAAUA
rnacentral:tRNA from 2 species